rnacentral:rRNA from 1 species
GGCCUACGGGAGGCAGCAGUGGGGAAUAUUGGACAAUGGGGGCAACCCUGAUCCAGCCAUGCCGCGUGUGUGAAGAAGGCCUUCGGGUUGUAAAGCACUUUCAGCGAGGAGGAAAGGUAUGUGGUUAAUACCCGCAUACUGUGACGUUACUCGCAGAAGAAGCACCGGCAAACUCGGUGCCAGCAGCCGCGGUAAUA